rnacentral:rRNA from 1 species
UACAGAGGGUGCAAGCGUUAAUCGGAGUUACUGGGCAUAAAGGGCGCGUAGGCGGAUGUUUAAGUCGGAUGUGAAAUCCCUGGGCUUAACCUGGGAAUUGCAUUCGAUACUGGACGUCUAGAGUAUGGUAGAGGAAAGUGGAAUUCCCGGUGUAGUGGUAAAAUACGUAGAUAUCGGGAGGAACACCAGUGGCGAAGGCGGCUUUCUGGUCCAAUACUGACGCUGAGGCGCGAAAGCGUGGGGAGCAAACAGG